GGCGAAGUCGGAUCAGGAGAAGGCGGUGAACGGUUGUGAGAAGAAGAACACGGAGCCGUUUGAGUGGCCGAGGAUCUAUCUGUCGCUGUCGAGGAAGGAGAAGGAGGAUGAUUUCUUGGCGAUGAAGGGGACGAAGCUGCCGCAGAGGCCCAAAAAGAGGGCCAAGAACGUUGAUAAAACCUUACAGUAUUGUUUCCCAGG
rnacentral:misc_RNA from 1 species